CACUUUGUUGAGCGAUUAAGAGCAAUCGAGACAAAAUGGUUCCGUACCAGGAAGGAGUUUGAGUUUGAGCUAGGCGAAAACUUACUAAAAUCGAAACCGCGCGAAAUCGGAACUCGCUCUCUCUCUCUCUCUAUCUCUCUUUCGCGGAUUUUCGGAGAAAACUAUGGGGCGGACUUGCCUUUCUUAGCCGCAGUGUGAUAUAAUCGAAUGAGCGGAGGUUACCACGCACCAAGUUACCCUGCCGCUCGGAGGAUGAUGGAACCAAUUCCGGCUCGUUCGCCACCAUCUGGCCACGCCGUUUCCUCGUUUACUGUAUGUGGCGCGGAUACUCCGGAGAGAAGGAGAGAGAACUCCCGGUGCAACUAGCGCCAGAGGUCUGGGGAUGGAUGUAAUGGGUGAUCGACCGUCGAAUGAUACUUCUUCGAACAGACAGCUGGAAAAUCAGCGCGUAAAUGUAGUCGGCGUAAAAAAGCUUUCGAAUCGAAAUGUGUAUAGUAACUAUA